AUUGAACGCUGGCGGAAUGCUUUACACAUGCAAGUCGAACGGUAGAGGGGGCAACCCCUUGAGAGUGGCGAACGGGUGAGUAAUGUAUCGGAACGUGCCCAGUCGUGGGGGAUAACGUAGUGAAAAUUACGCUAAUACCGCAUACGAUCUAUGGAUGAAAGCGGGGGAUCGCAAGACCUCGCGCGAUUGGAGCGGCCGAUAUCAGAUUAGGUAGUUGGUGGGGUAAAGGCUCACCAAGCCAACGAUCUGUAGCUGGUCUGAGAGGACGACCAGCCACACUGGAACUGAGACACGGUCCAGACUCCUACGGGAGGCAGCAGUGGGGAAUUUUGGACAAUGGACGCAAGUCUGAUCCAGCCAUUCCGCGUGCAGGACGAAGGCCUUCGGGUUGUAAACUGCUUUUGUACGGAACGAAAAAGCUCUUAUUAAUACUAGGAGUCCAUGACGGUACCGUAAGAAUAAGCACCGGCUAACUACGUGCCAGCAGCCGCGGUAAUACGUAGGGUGCAAGCGUUAAUCGGAAUUACUGGGCGUAAAGCGUGCGCAGGCGGUUAUAUAAGACAGAUGUGAAAUCCCCGAGCUUAACUUGGGAACUGCAUUUGUGACUGUAUAGCUAGAGUACGGCAGAGGGGGAUGGAAUUCCGCGUGUAGCAGUGAAAUGCGUAGAUAUGCGGAGGAACACCGAUGGCGAAGGCAAUCCCCUGGGCCUGUAC
rnacentral:rRNA from 1 species